rnacentral:rRNA from 1 species
UACAGGGGGGGCAAGCGUUGUUCGGAAUUACUGGGCGUAAAGGGUGCGUAGGUGGUUUUUUAAGUCCGUUGUGAAAUCCCUGGGCUCAACCUGGGAAUGGCAGUGGAUACUGGAAAGCUAGAGUGCGGUAGAGGGUAGUGGAAUUCCCGGUGUAGCAGUGAAAUGCGUAGAGAUCGGGAGGAACACCAGUGGCGAAGGCGGCUACCUGGACCAGCACUGACACUGAAGCACGAAAGCGUGGGGAGCAAACAGG